rnacentral:rRNA from 1 species
UACGAAGGGUGCAAACGUUGCUCGGAAUUAUUGGGCGUAAAGCGCACGUAGGCGGCUUUGCAAGUCCCAUGUGAAACCCCACGGCUCAACCGUGGAAGUGCAUGGGAAACUGCAGAGCUUGAGUACUUAAGAGGAUCGCGGAAUUCCCGGUGUAGAGGUGAAAUUCGUAGAUAUCGGGAGGAACACCAGUGGCGAAGGCGGCGAUCUGGGAAGAUACUGACGCUGAGGUGCGAAAGCGUGGGGAGCAAACAGG